UACGUAGGGUGCAAGCGUUGUCCGGAAUUAUUGGGCGUAAAGAGCGUGUAGGCGGCCAGGUAGGUCUGCUGUGAAAACUCGAGGCUCAACCUCGAGACGUCGGCGGAAACCAUCUGGCUAGAGUCCGGAAGAGGAGAGUGGAAUUCCUGGUGUAGCGGUGAAAUGCGCAGAUAUCAGGAAGAACACCCGUGGCGAAGGCGGCUCUCUGGGACGGUACUGACGCUGAGACGCGAAAGCGUGGGGAGCGAAUGGG
rnacentral:rRNA from 1 species